rnacentral:rRNA from 1 species
UCGAGCGGCGAACGGGUGAGUAACACAGUGAGUAAUCUGCCUCUGGCUUCGGGAUAGCCACCGGAAACGGUGAUUAAUACCGGAUACGACACGCUCUUGCAUGAGAUGUGUGUGGAAAGUUUUUUCGGCCAGGGAUGUGCUCGCGGCCUAUCAGCUUGUUGGUGGGGUAAUGGCCUACCAAGGCUUCGACGGGUAGCCGGCCUGAGAGGGUGACCGGCCACACUGGGACUGAGACACGGCCCAGACUCCUACGGGAGGCAGCAGUGGGGAAUAUUGGACAAUGGGCGGAAGCCUGAUCCAGCAACGCCGCGUGAGGGAUGACGGCCUUCGGGUUGUAAACCUCUUUCAGCACAGACGAAGCGCAAGUGACGGUAUGUGCAGAAGAAGGACCGGCCAACUACGUGCCAGCAGCCGCGGUAAUACGUAGGGUCCGAGCGUUGUCCGGAAUUAUUGGGCGUAAAGGGCUCGUAGGCGGUUUGUCGCGUCGGGAGUGAAAACACCGGGCUUAACUCGGUGCUUGCUUUCGAUACGGGCAGACUAGAGGCAUUCAGGGGAGAACGGAAUUCCUGGUGUAGCGGUGAAAUGCGCAGAUAUCAGGAGGAACACCGGUGGCGAAGGCGGUUCUCUGGGAAUGUCCUGACGCUGAGGA